GAAUUUUGCAUAUCUUGUUAUUUCAAAAAGGGUGAGCUUGUGCACGUUGGUUGCGGUUGGAAUAAGAGGUGAUUGAGGAGUAAGCUUGUGAGAUUGAGCGACGACGGGCGUGGAGGAUGUUGAGCAGAAUUCAUGGAUUAUUUAUGUUUGGCUUAAUAUUGUUGGAUGUGUCGUGUCUUCAUACUCGGCAUUUUCCGUGUCUUGAACGCUUCCGCUAGGUGUCUUUUCUUUAAAAUUGUUUUAGUAUUGAGAACCUAACUCUUUUCAAAAUUGUCUACUUUCUAGUCUUUAUUUCUUAGAAUUGGUACUUUGUUGAA